AGAGGGUGCGAGCGUUGUCCGGAAUCACUGCGGCGUAAAGGGCGCGUAGGUGGCCUGAUAAGUAGGGGGUGAAAUCUCGAGGCUCAACUUCGAGGCUGCCUCCUAAACUGUCGGGCUCGAGCAGAGUAGAGGCAGGUGGAAUUCCCGGUGUAGCGGUGGAAUGCGUAGAGAUCGGGAAGAACAUCGGUGGCGAAGGCGGCCUGCUGGGCUCUUGCUGACACUGAGGCGCGACAGCGUGGGGAGCAAACAGGAUUAGAUACCCUGGUAGUCCACGCCGUAAACGAUGGGUACUAGGCGCCGGGGGGAGCGACCCCUUCGGUGCCGUCGCUAACGCAAUAAGUACCCCGCCUGGGGAGUACGGCCGCAAGGCUG
rnacentral:rRNA from 1 species